UUUCAUCAUGUUAGGUUAUUAAUUAGAUUCAUACAAUAAUAUUGGAAUUAAUAUCGUGGUUUUGCUUUAAUAAAUUGUGUCGACAGUCAUGUUGAGCUACUAAUUGCUUUCAAUCCAAAUAAGAGAUCCAACCCGAUCCAGUUACAAUCGGGUCCAAGAUGAAACGACCCGGCCCGAUCUGAGUCCAGCCCAUUAUGCUGUGAUCACAACAAUUAGUAACCAUGAUCACAACAAUGGAUGCCGCAUCAUCUAAAUCGAUUAAUCUAAAAACCCUUAGUUUAGCUGAUUGAUGAUGGGACAGAUUUUGAUUGAUGUUUAGUAAGAACCUCGAAUGCAAGAUGGUAAGAUCAUAAAUAGAGACAUGAUUUUAUCUUAAACUAUUUAAUCUUAAAAGAAGAAUAAAUCCUUGAAAAGAAUAUGAUUUUAAGAGUACUCACCAGACACUCUUCCUUUGUUUGUGGGGGCCAUCGGAGACUCGGAUAAGAACAAGGGCGGGCGUGGUCAGCGGUCCUGGAAAAGUCAACACGUCCAACACCUCAAUGAUUCAUAGGUAUCGGGACAAACACUUUGUGAAGACACUGUUACCCGUGUGGACCCCGUGUUGUUUCUCCGAUCAACGCAUAGGCAGUGAGAGGUGGAAACAAAUUAUGCGUGGUGGGUCCCUUGAUCCUCCUUGAGUCAGCCCAUUGACCCAUAGCUGAUCUGCUCCACUGCACUGCACGGCACAGUGAACAGGCUUGCUUCCAUAGCUGCUCACCGGAGUCCACAGCAGCCUGUAGCCACAGGAAAAGAGCAGACGGUGAGACAUGGGAUGGGACACCUGCUCUGAAAGAUUCUCUCAACUCUAUCUUUCCACCGUCUAGCAAAUGAUCCUUUGGCUCUCUCUCAAAAAGUAGUCACAGGGAAGAGUGAGGCUGAACAUAAGGUGAAAGGUGCCUGGUUCAUGUGACCUGCAUGAAGAUAGGAAAGGAACCCUGGUUAUGUCAUCAGGAAUAAACAGAUAACAAAAACAUAUUCAAAAGAGAUUGGUUUUGCUCUUCACAACAGGGACUACCUGUUUUCAAGUUGACCAUUAGCCAGAAGAAGCAGAAGCACAACAUUUCUGAGAUACUACUACAAUCUGGAAUCAAAAUAUGAAGCAGGACAUGGUUACCUAAAAAAGCAUCCUAUUAAUUAGCAAGGAUGUUUGAGCUGAUAGAUCGGGUCAACAAUUACGGUUGAGUAGAUGUCGAACAAAUCAGCUACAAGUCAUUUGCCGUGGUAGGCUAGCGGCCGCCAUCAAGGCUUGCUUGUAGCUG
rnacentral:lncRNA from 1 species